rnacentral:rRNA from 1 species
CCUACGGGAGGCAGCAGUGAGGAAUAUUGGUCAAUGGGCGAGAGCCUGAACCAGCCAAGUCGCGUGAGGGAGUACUGCCCUAUGGGUUGUAAACCUCUUUUGUCGGGGAGCAAAAGCCGGACGUGUCCGGCUGUGAGGGUACCCGAAGAAAAAGCAUCGGCUAACUCCGUGCCAGCAGCCGCGGUAAUACGGAGGAUGCGAGCGUUAUCCGGAUUUAUUGGGUUUAAAGGGUGCGCAGGCGGAUUUUUAAGUCAGCGGUAAAAUCGUGGGGCUCAACCCCAUCCAGCCGUUGAAACUGGGGAUCUAGAGUGUGCGAGAGGUAUGCGGAAUGCGUGGUGUAGCGGUGAAAUGCAUAGAUAUCACGCAGAACCCCGAUUGCGAAGGCAGCAUACCGGUGCACAACUGACGCUCAGGCACGAAAGCGUGGGUAUCGAACAGGAUUAGAUACCCCUGUAGUC